GAUGAAGAACGCAGUGAAAUGCGAUAAGUAAUGUGAAUUGCAGAAUUCAGUGAAUCAUCGAAUCUUUGAACGCACAUUGCGCCCGUCAGUAUUCUGGCGGACAUGCCUGUUCGAGCGUCAUUACGCCCCUCAAGUCCCCUGUGGACUUGGUGUUGGGGAUCGGCGAGGCUGGUUUUCCAGCACAGCCGUCCCUUAAAUUAAUUGGCGGUCUCGCCGUGGCCCUCCUCUGCGCAGUAGUAAAACACUCGCAACAGGAGCCCGGCGCGGUCCACUGCCGUAAAACCCCCCAACUUUUUAUAGUUGACCUCGAAUCAGGUAGGACUACCCGCUGAACUUAAGCAUAUCAAUAAGCGGAGGA
rnacentral:misc_RNA from 1 species